GUGGGGAAUAUUGGACAAUGGGCGAAAGCCUGAUCCAGCCAUGCCGCGUGUGUGAAGAAGGUCUUCGGAUUGUAAAGCACUUUAAGUUGGGAGGAAGGGCAGUAAGUUAAUACCUUGCUGUUUUGACGUUACCGACAGAAUAAGCACCGGCUAACUUCGUGCCAGCAGCCGCGGUAAUACGAAGGGUGCAAGCGUUAAUCGGAAUUACUGGGCGUAAAGCGCGCGUAGGUGGUUUUGUAAGUUGAAGGUGAAAUCCCCGGGCUCAACCUGGGAACUGCCUCCAAAACUGCAUGACUAGAGUACAGUAGAGGGUAGUGGAAUUUCCUGCGUAGCGGUGAAAUGCGUAGAUAUAGGAAGGAACACCAGUGGCGAAGGCGACUACCUGGACUGAUACUGACACUGAGGUGCGAAAGCGUGGGGAGCAAACAGGAUUAGAAACCCCUGUAGUCC
rnacentral:rRNA from 1 species